CGGGGUGUAGCGCAGCCCGGUUAGCGCAUCUGCUUUGGGAGCAGAGGGUCGCAGGUUCGAAUCCUGCUACCCCGA
rnacentral:tRNA from 1 species